CAUUUGAAGUAGCAAUGAAGGCACCUCGGAGGGGAAUUCAUGCGGGAGUUCUCAUCGGAGGGUUUGUGACUGCAGUGGUGUUGGCGUUGUACCCGAUCGUCAUUCACCCGUACCUUUUCGUCCACGAAUACAAACAAAUCCAGAAGCAUACGAGGAAGGACAUUGAUCAGGAGUCCGUGCAACCUGGAGGUAAAGUCGGGUUUUCGGCGCACGUGUUUACUACGAAACUCCCCAAUUACCGGUACGUUCUUUUGCAGGCAUGAAAGUUUGGUCGGACCCUUUUGGGAGGAAAUGAAGCACUUCACUGUCAGCAGGGUAGUUCCAAGGACUUGUGUGGAAGCAGACAUGUGCGCUUAAUGUGCAACUGUAGUAAAAAAGUUGUCAUAAAACAGCGCGGUAUUCUUUUACUGCACUCUCGCUUUCAGACUUGUCAUUGGUUUCGUAAACUCGUGGGCCAUUGGAGCGGCAAGAAGGCUGAAGCUACUAGCUGCUGGAGCAGCUGAAGUUUGCUACUGACCUGUAUUAUAUCGAAACAACAUUUGUAAAAACCUUUCUUCCUGCUCCACAGUUGAGAAUACAAGUUUGCAUGGUUGACGGCGGCGAAGUAAUGUGUCCUUAUAUUAGGGCAGCUGCUAUUUUAAUAGGAUAUCUGGUCUUGCAUCUAGUCGGCCAAGUGAGCAUUC